GGGCGGCUAGCUCAGUUGGUUAGAGCGCUGCUUUCACACGGCAGAGGUCACAAGUUCGAAUCUUGUGUCGCCCA
rnacentral:tRNA from 1 species